GUGGGGAAUUUUGGACAAUGGGCGCAAGCCUGAUCCAGCAAUGCCGCGUGCAGGAAGAAGGCCUUCGGGUUGUAAACUGCUUUUGUACGGAACGAAACGGUCCGGGUUAAUACCCUGGGCUAAUGACGGUACCGUAAGAAUAAGCACCGGCUAACUACGUGCCAGCAGCCGCGGUAAUACGUAGGGUGCAAGCGUUAAUCGGAAUUACUGGGCGUAAAGCGUGCGCAGGCGGUUUUGUAAGACAGGCGUGAAAUCCCCGGGCUCAACCUGGGAAUUGCGCUUGGGACUGCAAGGCUGGAGUGCGGCAGAGGGGGAUGGAAUUCCGCGUGUAGCAGUGAAAUGCGUAGAUAUGCGGAGGAACACCGAUGGCGAAGGCAAUCCCCUGGGCCUGCACUGACGCUCAUGCACGAAAGCGUGGGGAGCAAACAGGAUUAGAAACCCGGGUAGUCC
rnacentral:rRNA from 1 species